rnacentral:rRNA from 1 species
AUUGAACGCUGGCGGCAGGCCUAACACAUGCAAGUCGAGCGGAUGAAGGGAGCUUGCUCCUGGAUUCAGCGGCGGACGGGUGAGUAAUGCCUAGGAAUCUGCCUGGUAGUGGGGGAUAACGUCCGGAAACGGGCGCUAAUACCGCAUACGUCCUGAGGGAGAAAGUGGGGGAUCUUCGGACCUCACGCUAUCAGAUGAGCCUAGGUCGGAUUAGCUAGUUGGUGGGGUAAAGGCCUACCAAGGCGACGAUCCGUAACUGGUCUGAGAGGAUGAUCAGUCACACUGGAACUGAGACACGGUCCAGACUCCUACGGGUGGCAGCAGUGGGGAAUAUUGGACAAUGGGCGAAAGCCUGAUCCAGCCAUGCCGCGUGUGUGAAGAAGGUCUUCGGAUUGUAAAGCACUUUAAGUUGGGAGGAAGGGCAGUAAGUUAAGACCUUGCUGUUUUGACGUGACCAACAGAAUAAGCACCGGCUAACUUCGU